GUUGUUGCAGCUUUAGUAGGGGCUGAUGUUGGUGCGGCAGUUGUAGGUGCUGCUGUUGUUGGUGCUGCCGUUGUUGGUGCUGCCGUUGUAGGUGAAGCAGUUGUAGGUGCUGCUGUUGUUGGUGCUGCAGUUGUAGGUGCUGCUGUCGUAGGUGCAGCUGUUGUUGGUGCUGCUGUCGUAGGGGCUGCUGUUGUAGGAGAUGCUGUGUUGGU